AAGAAAUCCGUGAUGGCCAUGAUGGCGGGGAAGCUGAACAAUGUUGUCAUCGAAUAUAGAACUAUUAUAUUGAAUCGAAAAAUGAUCUAAGCUGUGGCCUUAAAGGAGUAGUCUCCUUUGAUAAAGAUCAACAGUGACAAAUAAACAAUGCUGUCUUGUCAUCAACGGUGAAAUUUGAGACUUUUAUACCCAUAUAUCUACCAAUCACCUCUGUCCACUUUGUUUUGUACAUCUGAGACAGGUGUACACGAGAUGCCAGUAUUCACUCCUUUCCACGGACACCUGUUAGGAGGAUUUUCAUUUGUUUGCUGCCUUUGUCUUGGGAGGUGGAGGCACCAGGGCAAUGAGGUCAUUUUGUCCCUUUAUUAUGCUGACAGAGAGUCCCUAACCAUCUGAUCCAUCAUGAUAGGCAUUUUUCUUUAUGAUGCAGUACUUGCUGAGAGAGAGAGAGAGAGUCUCAUACUCGGAUGAGCACAGCGUAGAUAUAAAUCAAAAUCCCGGACUUGUGUUUCAUACACAAUGAUGUAUAAGUGGCUCAUCUUACAUCAAAUGGAAUGGAUCCAUGCCAGGAUUCACUUUUCCUUCCCAUGCUGGUUCCAGUCCAGUAAACUGUCACAGUCUGGGAAAUUCUGUCACUGGUGAUGCCGCAGAAAGAAAACACUAUGGAUGCACAUGAUGCUACUUCCUGAAUGGUGCUGAACCUGUUUGUCAACAUGUGGAACCCAUGUGUACUUGAGGGAGAAGUCUCCCUUGAUAAAGUUCAACAAUGGCGGAUAAACAAUGUGGGAUGCUGUCUUGUCAACAACAGUGAAAUUUGACACCUGUAUACCCAUAUUUCUACCAAUUGUCUCAGUC